rnacentral:miRNA from 15 species
ACUUGAGCCUUGCGAAUAAUUCC